GUCGACGGAGAUUCAGCAAUGGAUCUUAGUGGCGAACGGGUGAGUCNGCGUAGGCAAUCUGCCUUCUAGAUGGGGACAACAUCCCGAAAGGGGUGCUAAUACCGAAUGUUGUAGUUGGUCCGCAUGGACUAGCUACUAAAGGUGGCCUCUGAAUAUGCUACCGCUAGAAGAUGAGCCUGCGUCUGAUUAGCUAGUUGGAGGGGUAACGGCCCACCAAGGCUUCGAUCAGUAGCCGGUCUGAGAGGAUGAACGGCCACACUGGGACUGAGACACGGCCCAGACUCCUACGGGAGGCAGCAGUGGGGAAUCUUCCGCAAUGGACGAAAGUCUGACGGAGCAACGCCGCGUGAGUGAAGAAGGUUUUCGGAUCGUAAAGCUCUUUCGUUAGGGACGAACGUAUUUCUUGUAAAUAAUGAGAGAUAGUGACGGUACCUGAAUAAGAAGCCACGGCUAACUACGUGCCAGCAGCCGCGGUAAUACGUAGGUGGCAAGCGUUGUCCGGAAUUAUUGGGCGUAAAGCGCGCGCAGGCGGGAUAUCAAGUCUGUCUUAAAAGUGCGAGGCUCAACCUCGUGAGGGGACAGAAACUGGUAUUCUUGAGUGUCGGAGAGGAAAGUGGAAUUCCAAGUGUAGCGGUGAAAUGCGUAGAGAUUUGGAAGAACACCAGUGGCGAAGGCGACUUUCUGGACGAUGUCUGACGCUGAGGCGCGAAAGCUAGGGGAGCGAACGGGAUUAGAUACCCCGGUAGUCCUAGCCGUAAACGAUGGGUACUAGGUGUAGGGGGUAUCNNCCCCUC
rnacentral:rRNA from 1 species